UUGAAGUAUUAUAAUAAUCACUCAGAUGGCUGAUUCAAAGGGGUUCAAUAUAGUCCAUCGGCGGGCACUCGAGGGUCCGAGGACCGACGGCGAAAGCCCGUGUGAACAGGCUCCCGGCGGCCCGCCGAGGCAACAAAGUAAUGUAGACAUAGGGUUGGAGGUCGGGCCCCGAAGGACCCGGAAUCUCGAUAAUGAUCCUUCCGCAGGUUCACCUACGGAAA
rnacentral:misc_RNA from 1 species